CCUACGGGGGGCAGCAGUGAGGAAUAUUGGUCAAUGGCCGGAAGGCUGAACCAGCCAAGCCGCGUGAAGGACGACGGUGCCAAGCAUUGUAAACUUCUUUUGUCAAGGGACAAAAUCAGGCUCGAGAGCCUGACCGAGGGUACUUGAAGAAAAAGCAUCGGCUAACUCCGUGCCAGCAGCCGCGGUAAUACGGAGGAUGCGAGCAUUAUCCGGAGUGACUGGGUGUAAAGAGUUGCGUAGGUGGCAUAAUAAGUAGCUAGUGAAAUCUGGUGGCGCAACCAUUCAGACUAUUGGCUAAACGGUUAAGCUCGAGACCGUGAGGGGUAACUGGAAUGUCUGGUGUAGGAGUGAAAUGCGUAGAUAUUAGAAAGAACACCAAUCGCGUAGGCAGGUUACUGGGACGGUUCUGACACUAAGGCACGAAAGCGUAGGGAGCAAACGGGAUUAGAUACCCCUGUAGUC
rnacentral:rRNA from 1 species